GUAAGCGCACUGGAAAGUGUGCUUGGACUAACAAAAAGUAGCUUAAAUUAAAGCAUUCAACUUACAAUUG
rnacentral:tRNA from 1 species